rnacentral:rRNA from 1 species
ACGAACGCUGGCGGCGUGCUUAACACAUGCAAGUCGAACGGAAAGGCCUGCUUUCCCUUGUGGAUUGCGGGUACUCGAGUGGCGAACGGGUGAGUAACACGUGAGUGAUCUGCCCCCAACUUGGGUAUAAGCCUGGGAAACUGGGUCUAAUUCCCGAUAGGACUGCAGGGUGGUGCCUGUGGUGGAAAACGAUUUUCUAGUGGUUGGGGAUGAGCUCGCGGCCUAUCAGCUUGUUGGUGGGGUAAUGGCCUACCAAGGCGGCGACGGGUAGCCGGCCUGAGAGGGUGGACGGCCACAUUGGGACUGAGAUACGGCCCAGACUCCUACGGGAGGCAGCAGUGGGGAAUAUGGCACAAUGGGCGGAAGCCUGAUGCAGCGACGCCGCGUGGGGGAUGACGGCCUUCGGGUUGUAAACUCCUUUCGACCGCGAGGAAGCCACCUGGUUGGAAGGGUGGUGACGGUAGUGGUAGAAGAAGCACCGGCUAACUACGUG